AGGAGGAAGGCCUGCCAGGCAGUGGACCAACAGGAACCCACCGCUCCUGUCGAGGGCAUAACAGCAGACGGCAGUUUCCAGAACCGACCCCGACUCUACAUUGUCCGGAUCAAACCCUUGGGUGCCGCCGACACUGGGGUGGACCGACAUGUGGUUCUGGGAUUGAUGUACCCUGUCUAGCCAUCGCUCAUCCGAUCCAAACACCCCGGUGUGGAUGCAGCACACACAGAAACAGGCAUCUUCUCUGACCCCCGGCCACCUACCCAAAGCUAAGAGGCUUCACAUGGGACAAUGAGAAAAAGCAGCCAGGUGGAAUUCACACAGCCUGGAUCCUGUUUUCCUCAUGGUCCAGCCUAGUAUGUAUGGAUCCCUGAGCUGGUCAUUUCGUUUCUCUCUACCUGGAUGCCCUCGUUUGUAAAAGAAAAGUUGGAUUAAGAACUUGAUUUGAGGAGAGGCGCCUGGGCGGCUGAGUCAGUUAGGCACCUGACUCUUGGUUUGGGAUCAGGUCAUGGUUCAUGAGUUCAAGCCCCGAGUCAGGCUCUGCUGGACAGUGUAAAGCCUGCUUGGGAUUCUC